CCUUGGGAAACUAAGGAUAAUACCCCAUAGACCUGGAAUGGCUGGAACGCUUUCAGGUUGAAGUCUACGGAGCCUCAGGAUGAGUCUGCGGCCUAUCANNNUGUAGUGGNNNUAACGGACCCACUAACCAUCGNNNNGUACGGGUUUUGGGAGAAAUCGCCCGGAGAUGGAUUCUGAGACACGAAUCCAGGCCCUACGGGGCGCAGCAGGCGCGAAAACUUCGCAAUGUGGGAAACUACGACGAGGGGAUUCCAAGUGCUUAUCCAUUAGGGUAAGCUGUUUUCCUGUCUAAAAAGCAGGGAGAGUAAGGGCUGGGUAAGACGGGUGCCAGCCGCCGCGGUAAUACCCGCAGCCCAAGUGGUGCUCGUUAUUAUUGGGCCUAAAACGUCCGUAGCCGGACCAGUAAAUUCUUGGGUAAAUCGAACAGCUUAACUGUUCGAAUUCCGAGGAGACUGCUGGUCUUGGGACUGGGGGAGGCUAGAGGUACUCCCGGGGUAGGGGUGAAAUCCUGUAAUCCUGGGGGGACCACCAGUGGCGAAGGCGUCUAGCUAGAACAGCUCCGACGGUAAGGGACGAAGCCUUGGGGCACAAAC
rnacentral:rRNA from 1 species